rnacentral:rRNA from 1 species
UACGUAGGGUGCGAGCGUUGUCCGGAAUUAUUGGGCGUAAAGGGCUCGUAGGCGGUUUGUCGCGUCGGGAGUGAAAACCCAGGGCUUAACCCUGGGCUGGCUUCCGAUACGGGCAGACUAGAGGUAUGCAGGGGAGAACGGAAUUCCUGGUGUAGCGGCGAAAUGCGCAGAUAUCAGGAGGAACACCGGUGGCGAAGGCGGUUCUCUGGGCAUUACCUGACGCUGAGGAGCGAAAGUGUGGGGAGCGAACAGG